AAAAACUUCGUACAGGAGGCGACUCACGCACGUUCCGCCAUGUUUUUGCAGUUCAUUUCAGUGAUCCGAACUAAAUAGAUUUAUUUCAAAUUGAAAGUAACAAAAUUAGGCGCGUUCAAAACAAACGCGUAAACAUUUCAACAAAUAUGAAAAAAACAGCACAACCCGUUAUGAAAAAGGUUUAUGCUCAGCCGUCAUACGCACAGGACAUUCAAAUGAAUGCCGUAAGAAAGAUAAACAGUUUAUUAUCGAGUGGAACAGUCAGCGUGACUGGUCCAUCACAAAAUCGGACAAUGAAGCAACAGCCAGCGCAACCAAAAACAGUAUUUGUACAGAAAGGUGAAUGCUAUGUCUGUGACGAACACAUCGGCAUCAAUGGUACCCUCGUCACAGAAGCCUUUACAUCUGUAUCAAAUACAAAGAUCCCAACAAAAAUUGGCCGAAUCGUUGGCGAUGCAUUCAUGGUUAUCGUCAGUAUGGACGAUGUGAUUUGCAAACGUUGUUUGACCAUGUUCAAUCAAAUGGAUCGGCUGGAAACUGAUUUGGAUCGUGUCAAAAGCAAUAUUUUGACAUUAAUUAAUAAGAAAUAUGGUAUAAAUGACAACGGAAAUACUGGUGCAAGCAGCACAAAUGUUGUUGACAUUAAACCGCCCCCUGCCAAAGUACAGAGGCUUAAUACAAGUGCUGGUACGAUUAACGCAAACUAUACAAAUCGAAAGACGAGCAACGGCGGCGAAGCCGAUGAUGAAACACGAAAAAUAACAACGGUACCAUUGCUACAGCCAAUUCAAACAACAACACAGACAGUUAAUCAAUUUGCCGGUGGUCAACGUGUAGUGAAUGUUAGUGGCAGUGGUGAUUCUAUUGAUGGUCAAAUAACCACAAUUUAUGAAACAUCGCCACAAAAUAGUUUCGGUCAAACACAAUUGGUGCGACAACAACAACCAACAACCACACAACGGAAACCGAUCAAGAUUUACAAAUGCAUGUCAUGCGACUUUAAAACAACAGAUAUCAAACUAUUCCAGCCUCAUUAUGAUACAUGUCGACAACAAAAUGGUUAUCGUUGCAAACUUUGCAAAAAGAUCUUCACUAGUGUGAGCGCCCUGAAGGCACACAAUGUCGAAAAGCACGCAAGUGAGUUUACAUGCAGUAUAUGCAACAUAAAUUACAUGAAUGAGAACACAUACAAGAAGCAUAUGGAAACUAAUCACCCGGACAUUAAAACGAUCGAAUCAUCGACAACGGUGACCAGUAGUGGUCAACAACUCUAUUCGUGCAACGUUUGUCCAUUCAAAACAUACGAAAAAGCCACAUUUGAUGCGCAUUCUCGAAAACAUGUCAAGGUAAAGCCGUUCAAAUGCCGCAUUUGUUCAGCGCGCUUUGAAACCAGAGAACUAGCCGGCGUUCAUGCAAAGACUCAUUGUCCUGACUUUUUCAAAUGCGGAACAUGUUCAAUGACAUUCACACAAAAGGAAUUACUUGUAAAACAUUUCGAAACACAUAAGACAUCGCAACAAGUCGCCCAAAAACAACAGAUCGUAUCACAGAUUCAAACGUCGACACAAUUGACGCAACCAAUUGCCGUGUCACAAGAUCUCACCACUCAAAAAUUGUUGCAAGAUACCAUCGAUGAAGCAUUAAGAGAGACUGGAGACUCUGGCCCAAAAAUUAAUUUCUAUUCGUGUCACAUUUGUUCGCUUACCUUCAUCCAGGAGACUUAUUACAAACAACACAUGGAGACCCAUAAACGUGAAAGUAAUAAAAAAGUUGGCACCCAAGCCGUUGCCGUUACAACAUCAACCGUAUCGAAUACACAUAGUCUUAUACGAACCGAUCAACGUGUGACAAACACACCGACCACCAUCAUUGCAACACAACCAAACACAUCUAUAUCCGAUAAUGAUUUAGAAAUUAUGUUCGAAAAAAUGCAUUCAGACAAAGCGGAGAUUGAAGGUAAUGCGAAUAACACCGAUGGUGUUGUGAUAACAAGCCACGAAAGUUCAACCGGUGGCUACACAUUCAAUAUCACCAUGGCCAAUCAACAAGAUGCUACAUCCAACAAUGUCGACGUAGAAAAUAAAAAUAAACAAGACGGAAAUGAGAGUUUGGCACCAGUCGCAAUAGAUAUGCCACAAUUAGAUCAAAGCGAUGAUCAACAGCAACAGCCUGCCGAUCAAGAACAACAAACAAAUUCAGAACAACAACAACACCAAGAACAUUUGGAAAAUGAACAGAAACUUGCACAGGGUGUUGCGGUUAGUAUGCCAAGUUUAGAUGAUGAUGCGGAUGGUAGUCAACCAUCGAGUAGUGAUCAGGUGCCGAUGGAUUUGGAAGAUAUUCAAAAUGCGGCCGAAAGUGGUCAAAUUAAAUUUAUAUUGAAUGAAAAUGGUCAAUUGUUGCAAUUGGAUAAUCACAUUCUCACCACCGAUGCAGAAGGUAACCAGAUAUUGGUGCAAGGCAGUGAACAAAUUCAACAGCUAUUGCAAAGUGUUGGCGUUUUACAAGCCGAUGGUGAUGGCACUGAGCAAACCUUUCAAAUGAUUCAAGGUGAAAAUAAUCAAAUGAUUUUGGUGCAAGGCGAUAACAAUGAGGCACAAUUAAUCGAUGCGUCAAUGUUAAACGAAGAUGGCCAAUUAGUUAUUCAACAUCAUGGUGAUCAAUUGCCAGAGGGCAUGCAUGUAGUUAACGAAGAUGGUGUGCAGGUGCCGGUUUCGAUAGCAUUUGCACAGCAUUUAGAAUCGGCCGCUGCACAGCAUUUAGAAUCGGCUCAACAUAUGGAAUCGGCCCAACACCAAGAGGGUGAAAAUGAAAUUGAACAAAAGCCCGAAAUUCAAGACCAGCAACACACCGAAGAGGUCGAAGCCGAACAAGCGGUCACCAUUAAAUCAGAAGACACGUCAUCACAAGAUGGCGAACAACAAGCGGCCAACGAGGCCGAUGCAGGUGAAUGGCAAUGAGACAAUUAGGUAUCACUACGGUUACAACAUCGACGAGAGCACCAGUGUCAUCAACAACGGGCGAAGUAUAUUUCAGUUUAGAUGAAAUUAUGAAUCAAUCAGAACAAAAGUAAUCGACACACAAAUGAUGCACUGACCUGCCCCUCCCAAUUUAAGCUUUCGACUUUUAAGUAGCUGUUAGUAUUAUUUUUUAUCAAAUUUUAAAUAAACUCGUCGUUGCAAAAUCAACUAAAACCAUACUAAAUAAACAAUUUAGUGGAUAAAAUUACAAAAAAGAGACGAGCAAUUAUGUUUUGGUUAUUAAAAUCAAAAUGAACGUUAAGUGAGAAACAAAACACACACACACAUACACACAUUUUAAUCAGCUGAAGUUCAAUUGUAUUGAAAUAAAUUUGAUGCCCAUACAGAUUACUGUUAACCAAGGAAUGUAUGUUCUUGGGAAUCAGUGAUUAUUUUUCGAUAAGAAAAUACAAAAGAAAAAAAGAGAAGAAAAAAAACAAAUGGGAGAAUAUUGAGAAAUGAAUAUAUACAUACUCUAUAUAUGUAUUCAAUAGGAUUCAAAAUCAAUGGUCCAAUGCGCUGUUCUUUUUGCAUUGGUUCAUUUUCUUUAUAUUUAAUGUAUUGUCAUGAAUGCAAAAAAGAAAAAAAAAAAGAAAAGAUGAUUAAACUAGUAGAAAAAAACGAAAAAUACAAAAAAAAAUCUUUAAAACAUACAAUAAUUAUCAAGCAUAAACCUACAUGUUAUAUUUUUAAUUGGAGAGGAACAUAACAAAACGAAGAUAGACAGUAGAAGGGAAAAAGUUUAGGAGCGAAUUAUGAUAAAACGCAAAAACUUGAAACAAACAAACAAAAUACACACAUGUACACACAUAAAAAAGCGCGCGCCGCCAUCGUGCAAAUAGACAAGCCCAAAAUCUAGAACGAUACAGAAAACCAACAAAAAAACAUUUAAAUAAUUAGACAUAGUAUAUAGCAUAAAGAGAAAUUGAAAAAAAAAACCACCAGAGAAAAGGAUAUACUGUUAAAGUGUAUAAUUUUGGUUAAUGAACUAACACACAUACACACAUACAAAUGGCAAAUGAAUCGGCUGAAUAACCAAAAUAUGAUAAUUUCAAGCGAUGCAAUGAAACAAAUGCGGCAACAGCAGCAUAAAUCAGCAAAUGUAAAUGAAAGGGCCAAACCGAAUGCAAUUUACUUCUCUCAUUGCGCUAUUUUACAUCCAAACACACUCAUGCACACAAAAAAAAA